GGAGUUCCUUGGUUGACCGAAUGUUAAAAAACCGGUUAUGGCUUGUAAAAACACCAGAAGCCAGUUGAACAGUUCUGGGCUUAAAAGUAGUUGGUUGACCGAGUGUUUAAAAACAUCGAACGCGGGUUUGGCUUAUAAAAACAUACGAGACUAGUUGAACAGUUUUGGGCCCCAGGUGUUUAUAAAUUUCUAAACGAUUGGAGAGGUAAACAGGAGCUAAAUUAUUUAAACAUUUAAAAAAGAACUAGUAAACAACUUGUACAGUUUGAAAACACAUGAUGUCAAGUGACAGAAAAAUACAGUUUUGCAGUAAAGGAGGUGUAGCUACUGAUGUGGCAAUUUGUUCAGAAAUUGGGGCGUCCAUUCUACAAAAUGGUGGUAAUGCUGUUGACGCUGCAGUCGCUUCAUGUUUUUGUCUGGGCGUUAUAAAUUCACAUUCUUCAGGAUUAGGCGGUGGUGGUUUUAUGAUUGUUCAAGACCAGAAAACACAGAAAUCCUGCGGUUACGAUUUCCGUGAAGCCGCACCUAUAAGAUCUUCAACGGAUAUGUUUUGUAGCAAAGACGACUGUGUUUAUAGUAGUGGUUUAUCAAUAGGAGUACCUGGGGAAGUAAAAGGUUUGGAAGCUGCUCAUAAGGCACAUGGCAGGUUAAAAUGGUGUCAGGUAGUUAGACCAGCAGCAGACAUGGCCAGAAAAGGAUUUACUAUGACAGAAAGUCAAGGCAAGUUAAUUUCGU